UCAAGAUGUGGCCUGCACCAGUGCUUCUGCUCGUCCAGUCGGCUCUGCUGAUUCAAGGAUCUUCCGCCCAGGAUUUGUUGACCCAGACGGACAAAAUCAAGUAUGUCAGUCUUGGUGGGACGGUGACCAUCAGCGCCAAAGGGAGUUCAAAUAUUGGUGAAGAUCUCAGUUGGUACCAAGUGAAACCUGGACAGGUUCCUAAACUUCUGAUCUAUGAUGCAACAAGUCGCUUUACUGGAACACCACCUCGAUUCAGUGGCACACAAUCUGGCUCUGACUACACUCUGACUAUCAGUGGUGUUCAGGCAGAAGAUGUCGCUGAUUACUACUGUUUUGCCGCUUUUGACGUUGGAAGGGAAGUGAAAGUGGAAGAUGAUGAUGACUGGUCCACUGAACAAAGAUCACCAAACAGAACCAGCGUCAAUCUGAACAAGUUGAUUGACUUGUAA